UUGUUGCACUGAGUGUUAUGUGAGCCUGAGACUACAAUCGAAUUACUGAAAUAAUCGGAACAUAUAUUCAUGUUUUAUUACAAUUUUGCCUUGUACAUUAUUUGUUGUUUGAUAUCGAAAAUGUUUACUUACAUUUAAAGUUUGGAUUAAAGUGGGAAUGUGUGUGUUUGUGUUUGUGUCUGUGCUUGUCUUUGUGGUUGUGAGUGUAUGUAUCUGGUGACCAUGUUUAUUACUGUGUUUGCUUCGGUUUGUUGUUGGUUCUUACUUUGUGUUAUUUGGAUAGGAGAGUGAAGGCUUCGUUUGAUUUUAUAUUGUACACAAGAUCAUCAUCUGUUGGCGCUUCAGAGUCCUCUCGGUGUAGCAGUGCACAGAGAGAACUGGGUGAAAAUGAGACUGAAGACCAAGACUCAGCUGAUGACAACGACAACCGUGAAUGUGAAGAUGACGAGGAUACCGACGAAGAAGCUGAUCGAAUUGCUCGUGAAGAAUUUCUUGGUGAAGGAGAUUGCAAGGAAGCUGAUGAGUCAGACGUAGUACCUGAAUUGAACGUUCAGGAGAGAAUGGAGCAAUACAAAUUGGGUGGAAAGUCGAUGACGUCGAUAGAUCUAAAGAACAAGCGAUUGGUACAACGUCAGCGUCGCCGCAGUUUUCCCGGAUUGUUUCAAAAUUUCGUGGCCACCAAUCCGGUCGUGGAAGAGGAAGAAUCAUUCACAUCAAGUGCACUACCACAAAAUCAUGUCAACACAACACCUUUGUAAACAAUCAACAUCAAACGGACGUUGUACAAGUCGCUAUUGUCUUUCGAGGUUACAGGGAGAUGACUAUGCAGUCAUGUUUUAUUUAAUUAUUUAGUAUACGAGAAUGUGUAGUAAAUACCCGUAUAUGAAUUUAAUGUAGGUUAUGCAUUGUAGAUUCAUUUAGUUGGAUUUAGAUUGACACUUUACUAUCUCAAACACACACAAAAUUCAA